rnacentral:rRNA from 1 species
AUUGAACGCUGGCGGCAGGCUUAACACAUGCAAGUCGAGCGGAGUGAUGGUGCUUGCACUAUCACUUAGCGGCGGACGGGUGAGUAAUGCUUAGGAAUCUGCCUAUUAGUGGGGGACAACAUCUCGAAAGGGAUGCUAAUACCGCAUACGUCCUACGGGAGAAAGCAGGGGAUCACUUGUGACCUUGCGCUAAUAGAUGAGCCUAAGUCGGAUUAGCUAGUUGGUGGGGUAAAGGCCUACCAAGGCGACGGUCUGUAGCGGGUCUGAGAGGAUGAUCCGCCACACUGGGACUAGGACACGGCCCAGACUCCUACGGGAGGCAGCAGUGGGGAAUAUUGGACAAUGGGGGGAACCCUGAUCCAGCCAUGCCGCGUGUGUGAAGAAGGCCUUAUGGUUGUAAAGCACUUUAAGCGAGGAGGAGGCUCUUUUGGUUAAUACCCAAGAUGAGUGGACGUUACUCGCAGAAUAAGCACCGGCUAACUCUGUGCCAGCAGCCGCAGUAA